GUAACCAAGGUAUCCGUAGGUGAACCUGCGGAAGGAUCAUUCGCGCGUGUUCGACCAACCUCUGUGAAACAUACUUUGUGAGGGUCUGGGCGGGGACAGAGAUACAUUCGACGUCCCCGCGCAGGUGCUCAAGGGCGGCAUUGGCUGGGGACAGGACUGUCUUCCUUUCCCUGACCUGCUGUCGUGUCCACUCUCUGCGCUCUUGAUUGUCAUUUCCCUGAGUGGUGAUUGAUCUCUGCUCCAGCAUCUGCCAGCAACUUUCAGCGAUGGAUGUCUUGGCUCGAACAACGAUGAAGGGCGCAGUGAAGUGCGAUGAGCACUGUGAGUUGCAGGAUUCCGCGAGCCAAUAAGGACUUGAAUGCGCACUGCGCUUUUGGGGUAUCUCUGAGUGCGCGCUUGCUUCAGCGUCUAAGCCGCUUCGCUCCAGCAGCGUCGUCCCCCGUGCCCCGCCGCUUCAGGCAGACUCGCUGGGGAGCCCUCGCGCGUUUGGCCUUGCCCCUGACGCGCAGUUUGCGAAGACUUCGUCCGCGACAGGCAAUUCGGGGAGCGCGUUUCAGUGCCACGCAUUGUCUUGUCAGUUGAGGACUCUUUGAUGUUCAAAACCCUGCGUUUGCAACUUGGCAUGAAGUUAAGCUGGCAAACCCGCUGAACUUAAGCAUCU
rnacentral:rRNA from 1 species